ACAAUCCUACAGUAACUUCAUAUGUGAGACUAAUGAUUUAA
rnacentral:guide_RNA from 1 species